rnacentral:rRNA from 1 species
GACGAACCGUACGAACGUUAUUCGGAAUCACUGGGCUUAAAGGGUGCGUAGGCUGCGCAGCAAGUUGGGUGUGAAAUCCCUCGGCUUAACCGAGGAACUGCGCCCAAAACUGCUGUGCUCGAGGGAGAUAGAGGUGAGCGGAACUUAGGGUGGAGCGGUGAAAUGCGUUGAUAUCCUAAGGAACACCGGUGGCGAAAGCGGCUCACUGGAUCUCUUCUGACGCUGAGGCGCGAAAGCCAGGGGAGCGAACGGG